AGCAGGAGCAUAAUUUGGCUCCCCUCUUAAUUGAUUUGGAAAUGUACCAAAGGAUUGUGGUAAUUCCUUUAAAUUUUACUCUCAUUCGAAUUUUGGAGGUAAACAUAAUGAGAAAGGAGAGUCGGCCCCACAUGUUGGAGGAAUAGAAAGGUCUAGCGCUUUAUUUUUACCCUGGGCCUAAGCAAAGCAAAUUCGCCAUGAAUACCUCAUUAUUUGAAUUUCAAAUAUUUCUCUCGAGUUGAGCACAAAAGGAAACUGAACAACAAAAAUAUAUAUAUAUUAACACACACACACAUGCAUCCCCUGAACCGUUUUUUCUCUUUCUUGAGUAUGUGACUCAGAAUGUCCUAGUUUAGGUUAUAACCGCACAAUUGCGAGGAUCAAUCAGCGCGAGAUAGAUGUGUUUACUCAGAAGGGCUUAGAAAGGAGGCCAGUCAAGGGGACAUUAGUAUCUUAAAACAUUGAAAUGAUCUUUACCGAAGAGCAUUAGGUAUGAGCAUUAAUAUGCGGGGCUUCUCUUCUGCUGGCAAAGCGUCUACAUUUGGAAGAGCCCAGAGGUCAGGGUGUAGAGGAAAGCGAGGAGGCGCUCAUUGGACGGAAGGCACGGCAGGCCAGAAGGAGCUCAGGAACUGGGUUCCUCCGUUUGUCCCCUCGCGUGCUCAUGCACAGUUACUCGGCAGUGUAGACAGACACAGUUACCCAGCAGUGUAGAUGGCAGAGCGAACCCGGGGGCCCUGCGGUCAAGCCCUGCCCCGCCGCGUUGUUAACCGUGCCGCCCGAGUGUGCUAUUAAACUGCCCCAGACCUCAGUUCCUACGCCCCUGAAAUGGGAUUAAUAAUAGUGUUAGGCCAGGAGUGAGCUCUGAACACACUCAGCGCGGUAAGUCCUCAAUGAAUGGCAGUGGUUUCGUUGCCUUUUCCACCCAGUGUUCUGCGCACCAGGCAGUGCUGAGUGAGGACAAAGGAUAAACCAGAUUGCCACGGGCCCUCUCCUCCUGGAGCUUAUCACCUAGACAGGGGGAAAGGGGCAAUUAUGAUCGUGGUGCUCCACCGACUGGGUCUGGAGCUCUCAGCUGUGUGCCGGAGAAAGCCCCUUAGCCACUCUGGUCCCGAGUCCUCCUUUGGGAAGUGGUGACGGAGCUCUCUCCACCUCCUACCGAGGGAGGUGUGAAAACCCACCAGAUAAAGCACCAGGAAUCUUGGAAACCAGAGGUCCUGGCUGGGGAAGGUCGUGUUCUCAUGUGUUUAACCCCUUUUGAGCCCAGGACCCAAGUGGCAUCAGGAAUGGAGACACCAGAGAACUCUCUUCCUUCUGGGUCAGGUUUUCCAGGACUCCCUGGGUCCAGCUGACUGCCCUUGUGUGGCCCAUUGUCCUAGGAGUCUGUGUGUUAUCCUCAGGACAGGGGUUGGGGCGUGACGGGGGCAUUGAAGCCGGGAAGGAAUGGGAUCGAGCUGGGUUGAGGAAGACAGUGUGGCUGUGGAUGGAGGGCAGCCUGGAGACAGAGGGCUCCGGAGAGGUGACGGGGACCCCGCUCCCAGGCCAGCUUUGGUCCGGCUCCUUGGAGCCCUCCUCUGGACUGGCCUCGACCUCGGUUUGCUCUUUGGUCUCAGAGCCUCAUUUUCCAGAGCAUCCUGCCACGCCCCUUUAGCAAGAAUCCCCCCACCUUCGCUAUCCAACCAAAUUCCUCUUAAUAAUUUCCCACCGGCCCUGACACUCUCGCCCUGCCCUUUGCUUAGAAAUCCCCAGUUGCUCCUGCAGGUUUGGGUGUUGAACUCAGCCUCGUACUGACAUAAAAUCUGUCUUGCCGUUUUUAGCAAGUGGUCGGUGCAAAGUGACUUUGGUGCGGGGCAAAGGCUGACCCGAGCAGAAGGUGGUGAGAGCAGGAAGGAAUGGGGGGAGAGGGCAUGCUUUAAAGCUAGAAUAGCAAAACUGGGGGCAGGGCAAGGCCAGGAAGGCACUGGGGACCCCCUGCAGGCUUCUGGGGGGGCAGCAGGGGUGUGGGAUCCCCGAGGCAGCGUGGCUUUUGGGUGAGAAGACCACGUUUGGUUUUGGGUUGUUGGAUUUGGCCCUUGGCACAGCCCUUUUGGUGUCUUCUGUGCAGAUGCCACCCUUUUGUGCUUCUCCGCCCCAUUCCCAAGACAACCGCCGAGUUCCAUCAGGGCCUGCGCCUCUUUAGCAGCUUCCCCUUCCCCUUCCCAAAACUCUCAAGAAGCUACUCUCCCUGGUGUCAGGUGCCUAAUUUAAACAGCAAAUCUGGGCUAACGUGCACAGCUCCUCUCGCUCUGCUGAGGUUUUUACAUUUUAACAGGGACACUUAGGAGGUAAUGCCUUUACCCCAAGACAAUGAAAUGACGUUUCAGAGGACACAGACUAAUGGUGGAGGGAAGAUUUCCAAAGCAGUGCCAAGAGCUUGGGCUUGGAGAUGGGACGAAGCAAGGUUGGCGUGCAAGCUCAAGGGGGGGCCUUUCUGUAGGGCUGGCUGGGUCAGUGGGGGGUGCCGGGCCUCCUUGGAGGAGCUGACCUAUCCUACCUGGGCGUGUCCCUCACCUUUCUGGGCCUCCUGAGGCCUCAUUCCUCAUUUGCAAGAGGGAUGAAGCAUGCCUGACCUGGCAAACAUAGCUUCCCCAUCCUGGUAAGUGCACGCUCACUCCCACCCCACUCCCCGACACCUGACACACACACACACACACACACACACACACACACAGGUCCUCUCCCUCAUGACCGGGCACCUGCUCGCUCAGUCUACCCCUUUCUCUCCCUUGACCUUUGUGCAUACCGGCUGUUUGUGUUUGGUCUGGAUUCCGAGUGAAGCAGGAUUCCAGCUGGAAAGCUUGUUGUUUCCAAAGAGGGGUGAUGGUGGCGAUGGUGGGGGGACGCUCACCCUUGUGGCACUGGGAGGCGGGAGCAGCGGAAGCCGGGGCUCACAGAAGGCGGCCCUAUAAUUAAUCCCCCAGCCCUCGCCACCAUUGUCUCUUCCCUAUUGAGAUCGGCCAAUUAGCGGUUCUGCACUCCUCUGCGUGGCAGCCACUUAUUAGUGAAGACAAAGGCAGCAUUGAUUCCAAUUUGUCCUGCAUUUGGCUGUCUCUGAAGUUAAAGAUUGCAUUUGGGUAUCACUGCUGGGGAAGGGAGGCAGGGGCAAUGUAGUGAGAGGGCCUAAAAUUAGCCGAAAUAAUUUUAGCUCUAUUGUGAAUGGCUAAACUAAAUAUAAACAGAAGGGAGAAGAAAAAUCUUUGUAAUGUUAAUUACCGUAAGCAUUGAGGACCCAAAAAUGAGGCGUACGAUUUGUUUGGUGACACUCUGAUAAUUAAAUCAUUUUCUCCCAUUGAGGCUCCUCGCAGGUUUACGCAGAGCCUGGCUCCUCCGGAGUGGUUUUCUCUGGCCCCGAGGGAUGCUCGAAAUUCUGUUUCCCACAUUUCUGAGUCCACAGUACGUCCCCAGUCCAGGCGAGCUGUGCUUGGUACCACUCCCGUGAGUCAUCACUCAAGUAAUUACCGGGUUUUGGAUGAGCCUGGGCCGGCAGAGGAUGAGCAGAGUUGAGAUCUGGGCUGAGGUGGACAGGAAGGCUGCUCACUGCGUCUCCGUCCAUCCAUCGGUUGGUCUGUCCAUCCAUCCGACCGUCCAUGUUCCUGCACCUUUUCAUCAAUUCACUCCACUGCCGUCGUCUUUUGUGCAAGGCACUGAGGGUACAGAGAGAAAAAAGGUGCCAUUCUUGUCCUCAAGGACAAGAGGGUGACAUGGCCACAGAGAACCACGUAUGACACGCUGUCCAAAGCCCCGUGACGGAGGUAUAAAGAGAAUAUUUGGAACGCAUCGUAGCGAGACACAUUCACUUUGCCCGAGGAGUCAUGGAAGACUUCUCAGAGGAGGUGGCAUUAGAGUUGGCACCAAAAGGAUGAAUUCCACCUCCCAAGCAGACCUUCACUUGCUACUUCUUAUUGGCUGGAAUUACAUCCCGUAUCCAUCCCAAGCCAACCAUGGAUAGGAGGAAUGGAAUUUCAAGGCAGUUUUUGACUAAUCACACAAGCUGGAAUGAAUAUUGGGGCAUUGACUGUAAUGCUCAUGACACACUGAGUGAGGUGACAUGCGUACCAUGAAAUACCCACAAGUAUACAUCACAUGGCUCUGUCCAGCUGCCAGAGCUGGGCUCUGAAUUGACCUCUGAGUUUCCCAGCAGCCAAGGCAAAACAGGAAAGCCAAACUCUUUAAACAUUGUACAGUUCCCUUACGUUCUAAAGGAAGCAGGUGCUCUGGAGAGCCCCAACACUUUCUGAAACUGGAAUCCAAAAACUGCAGUCGUUCUUCCCGAGUAAUGCAUUGUGGAAGGUCAUUUGCAGGCCGUACUCCCGGGCCGAGCGCAGUAGCAGGCUUUGUACGGCUAUUUCGUACAACGCCUCAAUCAAUGCAAGCUAACGGAAAAGUUUGAGAGCCUUAGCACCAAAGUUCAAUUUAAAAAGUGAUUCAGGGGUAGGAGAGAGAGAGAGAGAGAGAGAGAGAGAGUAGGAGAGGCAGGCUAGAGCAAAUAGCACGCGGUACAUACCCAGCCUCUGAUGGAUGACACUGAAUUGUGUCCACAGGUAGAAUUUAGGCUAGCUGAAGGAACGGAUGGAUAAUUUGUCUUUCAGGCAGCCCACCACGAACAUCAUUUUUUCCCAGCAAAGUUUUUGAUAAAGAAGGGGCAGCAGAGAGUUCGAGGUUGCGUUCUCUGGUAAGGACCUACAUGAAGAUUUUCUCAGAUAUUCAUACGUUUUGACAGUUGGCAGAGUAGAUGGGACAGAUUUUGAAUAAGAAUAGAGGAGCCUGACCAGGAGACAUGCACCUGAAUGGAUGUCACAGAUGUGGGUGUUAUUAUAUCCAGCCCCCUCCCCCACCCCGCUUACGAGAUUGGUAUUUUUUAAACCCAUAUUCAGGGCUUUAUACUUAACUAGGGCGACCAGGUCCCAGCAUUCCCUUUUUGGUUGGUGUCGUUUGUACUCUUUAAACGUGAUCCAUUUUGCAGAGAAAUUACAUGGCCUCUCUCUACCCACCCCAACUGGCAUAGAUCUUGUUAGCUCCCCAACCCAGUGGAGCCUCUGAAUCUUGAGUCCGCUACAAAAUAUGUUUCCUCCUCCACCUGCAAAUCUGAUCAUAGAAGGGGUCAUCCUUGUCUUAAAUGAAGGCCCACAGAGCCUGAGCUGGGAGCCGCGUUGGAGAGACCACAUAGAGAAGACAGCCCGGGACAACCCCGGAGAAGAGCCCCAGCCUGCUUGUCACUCCCUUCAAGAACAAGACCAGGCAAUGGGCCACCCUGCAAAUUUCAGCCUGGCCAAGUCCCCGGAUGACUACAUGCAUACCUGUCUGACCUCACGUGACCAGAACCACCCAGCUGAGCCCAGUCAAGUCUCAGAAUCAACCCUCUACGAAACUGGUUUGGGGAGGGGGUAUGUUAGCCACAGUAGAGUCAUGGGUCAGGGUAUCUCUCCCUGUCUCUAGCCCCACACAGGGAAGGGCUGCUGAGCUGGGGCGGCCGAUGAGGGGUUGGGGGCAGGCAAGGUCUUGGACAAGGCAGUUUGCUCCUUCCCUUCUCUCCUUCUGUCUCGCUUUUGGUUUAUUUGUUUUUUUCUUGUGUCCUCUGACCUGGGCUCGGGCCUGCCUCAGUCUAAGCGGACGGCGGCGAUAGGCACCUGUGCCUUGCCUGGCGGUGCCCUCGGAGCGGGGUCAUAGGCGUGUUGGAAUUCCACGAGCAUGCCACCGGGCAGACAGGCAUCUGCUUAAGUGGGUAAUUUCUUCAAGGGGGAGAGGCAGUCUGCGCUGUGCCUGGAAUCCUAAUGGGGGAGGCCUCUCAGAGUGCACAUUUAAGCUUGGGAGCACUGUAGCUGGACCCCAGCUAGUGCCUGAGCUGUGGUCCCCAACUUGAGACUCAGACCCAUCUGAGGACUGCAAACAGAGGAAAGCAGGAGAGAAAAGAAAGGAGAUUUGGGAUCAUUGGCCACAAAGGUCCAAGAGCCCCCUGGAAAAACUUACCCUAAAUGAAGAGGGGAUGAUUGGGUACAGUCAGUUCAGCUUGCGGGCCUGCCUGUGUGCCUGGAGAAGCAGUUUCCGGAGCAGGCUGGGGCAACCCCUGGCUUCCAGCGUCCUGAGUUAGCCCCUGUGCCCAACGAGCAUUCAGGGCACAGGCUGCGUGGACAGGCCCGGGAUCACAGUGACACAGGCAAGUGGCCUGCAGAGUGAGACCGAGAAAGCCUUUACCCCGAGAGCUACAGGAGGGAGCACCAGCUGAAGGGUUGUACCCCGGGGGGGGGCUCAUUUGCCCCCCGAGAGUCCCAGCCUUGGUGAGGGGCACCUGCACCCCUCGCCGCAUGCAGCACUGGUGCCCUGGACGCUGGCAUGUUCCGAGCAGACGGCAGAGGCCCACAGGGUAGCACGUUGCCCUGGGAGGGUGGGGGCACCUCUGGUAUGUGGGGUCUGCAAUGAGAAAGUAGCAGAAGCCCCACAGUGGCCUGCAUGUCCACGACGUGCUCCUGGGAGGUGCUGGAGGAUUGUGGGAGCUGGCCGCAGGGUGAGGGUGCAGUUCCCCUCACGGGGGCGGAGGGCAGAGCCAGCGAAAUGCCAGCUUGUGGCCGUUACUGUGAGCUUGUUCUUACAUGUGGAGCUGUGGUGGCUUAGAAAACAGGUCACAUUGCUGUGAUGCGCGGUGUCACCUUCCUGUGCCCAGCACCACCGGGUCAGGCCAACCGUCCUGGGCACGGACAGGUAUUAUCAUCUUGUGUGCAUAUGUGAGCAAAGUGAGGCUCUCGGGUGGCCACGCUGCGGACCCCCCAGGUCACUUCACUGACGUUUUGGACUGGAAAGGUCUGCAGAGAGCUCUGUGCCACCUGCUCCGUGUGCACGCAGGGAAACGAGGGCUGGGAAGCUGAAGCGUGUGCUCACCGUCACCCCGCGAGUCAAGCAAUGGAGUGACCCCCACUGGAUCUUCUUCUUUUAAAAAAUAUUUUAUUUAUUUAAGAUAGAAAGAGAGAGAGAAGGAGCAGAUGGAGAGUGAGAAACUCCUGCUGAGCAGAGAGCCUGAUGCAGGUCUCGAUCCCAGGACCCAGGAUCAAGACCUGAGCUGAAGGCAGAUGCCCAACCGCUGAGCCACCCGGGUGCUCCUGAAUCUUCUUUAAUUUCCACGGUUCUCUAUCUUGCAUCUCCCAAUUGAGGCUUGACCGUCCACCCUGGAUUUCUAACCUGAGGACAAAUCCCACCCCAACCUGCUGUGUUGACAGGCCCAGUGGACAGGGCAUGGACAGGUUUUGGGGUGCACGUGGGUCUUCUCUGCCUGAGUCCCCUCCCUCCCCUUCCAGGUUCGUCUGUGAGUUUAACCCAUGUGGGGGAGCUCAAGUAGGACUCGCCGCAGAUCCUCCUCAGCUGGAAGAUUCCAGUUCUGUCCCCGGCUGUGCCCCCCUCCACCCGGGGGCUCCCCUGACCCCCAAGGAAAAGCAGAAGGACGAAGUCCAGCCCUGCGGCAGCGUGAGGGUCACCCCCUGCAGGCCAGACGCUCUUUGCCUCGCCCCGGGUCCCCUGCCAGGCAGCCACUGCGUCUUCGAAGCUUGAGCCUGUGUUAACUGCUCUUAAAAAAAAAAUAUGUUUUAAAGCAAUAA